UACAGAGGUGGCAAGCGUUGUUCGGAAUUACUGGGCGUAAAGGGCGCGUAGGCGGCCUUCUAAGUCAGACGUGAAAUCUCCCGGCUUAACUGGGAGGGUGCAGCGGAAACUAGAAUGCUAGAGGGUGGGAGAGGUAAGCGGAAUUCCUGGUGUAGCGGUGAAAUGCGUAGAUAUCAGGAGGAACACCAGCGGCGAAGGCGGCGCUCUGGGCUGGCACUGACGCUGAGGAGCGAAAGCGUGGGGAGCGAACAGG
rnacentral:rRNA from 1 species